rnacentral:lncRNA from 13 species
CUUACCUUUCUGUGACUCAUCUGUAAAACAAGAAUACUGAUCUAGCAACCACUGAAGAAUUUCUUUAGUUUAAUUCUAAGUAAGUCAAAUCGAGGUUUGGUUUGGUUUGGUUUUGGAAUUCUCAGUCCCAAAGAAUUUACCCGUUGAAAAUGGUAAUAUAAGGAAGCUUGAGUCCCCAAGAGAGUUACUAUGUCAUUAUAGAUUAUUCUAAAUGAAGAUGAAGAGAGGCAAACUAAGCUGGCAGGUGACAGCCUGGGACUGCUGCUGCUAAGGAAUUCUGCCUUAUUACUCAGGGACAAGCAAGAGCAGACUUUCCCCACAGGGCCUGACCUGCUAAUCUGUGAAGGAUGACUCAUUCAUCAGUGCUGAAGAUAACUGCAGCACUGAGCUGCAGCUUUGUCUUCCUUUGCACAACCUCACCCAAUUCCCUGGGGAACCUUGGCUGGGUUAGUUUGUUUUGAAGCAUUCAGGAAUAGAAGCAAUGGUAGAAACAGUGGAGGAGACGGAUCCAACAGUACAGAGAGUCAACUCGGAGGAGACAAGGAACAUAAUGACAUGUGGACUUGCAUCUGUAUGACAAAGGACAUGGAUGAAUCUGGAGAACAUCAUUCUCAGCAAACUGACACAAGAACAGAAAAUGAAACACUGCAUAUUCUCACUCAUAGGCGGGUGAUGAAAAAUGAGAACACAUGGACACAGAAAGGGGAGUACUAAACACUGGGGUCUAUUGGGGGGAAAAGGGGAGG